rnacentral:rRNA from 1 species
GACGAACGCUGGCGGCGUGCUUAACACAUGCAAGUCGAGCGGAAAGGCCCUUCGGGGUACUCGAGCGGCGAACGGGUGAGUAACACGUGAGUAACCUGCCCCAGACUUUGGGAUAACCCUCGGAAACGGGGGCUAAUACCGGAUACGACACAGCUUCGCAUGGGGUCUGUGUGGAAAGUUUUUCGGUUUGGGAUGGGCUCGCGGCCUAUCAGCUUGUUGGUGGGGUGAUGGCCUACCAAGGCGACGACGGGUAGCCGGCCUGCGAGGGCGACCGGCCACACUGGGACUGAGACACGGCCCAGACUCCUACGGGAGGCAGCAGUGGGGAAUAUUGCACAAUGGGCGGAAGCCUGAUGCAGCGACGCCGCGUGGGGGAUGACGGCCUUCGGGUUGUAAACCUCUUUCAGCAGGGACGAAGCGUAAGUGACGGUACCUGCAGAAGAAGCGCCGGCCAACUACGUG